CAGUAGCCGCGGGAAUACGUAGGGCGCAAGCGUUAUCCGGAAUUAUUGGGCGUAAAGAGCUCGUAGGCGGUUUGUCGCGUCUGCCGUGAAAGUCCGGGGCUCAACCCCGGAUCUGCGGUGGGUACGGGCAGACUAGAGUGAUGUAGGGGAGACUGGGAUUCCUGGUGUAGCGGUGAAAUGCGCAGAUAUCAGGAGGAACACCGAUGGCGAAGGCAGGUCUCUGGGCAUUAACUGACGCUGAGGAGCGAAAGCAUGGGGAGCGAACAGGAUUAGAUACCCCUGUAGUCCCUGUCUCUUAUAC
rnacentral:rRNA from 1 species